UACGAAGGGGGCUAGCGUUGCUCGGAAUCACUGGGCGUAAAGCGCACGUAGGCGGCUCUUUAAGUCAGGGGUGAAAUCCUGGAGCUCAACUCCAGAACUGCCUUUGAUACUGAGGGGCUUGAGUCCGGGAGAGGUGAGUGGAACUGCGAGUGUAGAGGUGAAAUUCGUAGAUAUUCGCAAGAACACCAGUGGCGAAGGCGGCUCACUGGCCCGGUACUGACGCUGAGGUGCGAAAGCCAGGGGAGCGAACGGG
rnacentral:rRNA from 1 species